rnacentral:lncRNA from 1 species
AAGCUAGUCAAUAUAGGAUAUUUUUAUCUACCAUUGCAGUCUACAUCACUUCUGUAUUAACCAUCUCAAGCUAAAAUAUGCCAGACCAUUUGGGCCUUUGUAUAAUGAUGUUGUGAUUUAUUGCACUCUCAGUUUCCAUCCUGCAGCAAUUACCAGAAGAGCUGAUAAUGGUCUGCAAUUUGUUUUCCAGAACUGGGAGUAGCUGCCAGCAAGAGCCGCUCGUAGGGAAAGGUAGUGGCUGUUUACCUGGAUGGCUCAGCCAGACCAGGGAGGACAGACCCGCUUGAGUUCUCCAACAGAAGACAGUGACAUGACACAAAUGGUAGCACAAGGCUCUUACUGUUCCAUUCAAUAAGUGAGUCUCUGUGGAUGGAUUAUAACUCCCAAAAGGUUGCAAAGAGAGGCUAGAAAGAGUGGAAUUAUGCUCCCAAGAAGAAAAAUCCAGAGUAAGAGCACGGGUUUAAUGGACAUACUUUGGAUUUACACCAGCAUCCUGAAAGCAGAAUCGUCCCCUGUAGAUGUGGCAGUAUCACUGUAGCUCUCUCCAGGACGCAGCAGAAAUUGCAGAAUACAGAGGGGUGCAGGAUUCAUCCACCAGCCUUUGUCACGUCGUGAGCAUGCAGAGUCUGUUUCUCCUGGAAGAGCUCCAAGUGACUUGAAAGGUAAAUAAAUGAUUAAAAAAAAACA